GAUGAACGCUGGCGGCGUGCCUAACACAUGCAAGCCGAGCGGUAUUGUUUCUUCGGAAAUGAGAGAGCGGCGUACGGGUGCGGAACACGUGUGCAACCUGCCUUUAUCUGGGGGAUAGCCUCUCGAAAGGAAGAUUAAUACUCCAUAAUAUAUUGAACGGCAUCGUUUAAUAUUGAAAGCUCCGGCGGAUAGAGAUGGGCACGCGCAAGAUUAGCUAGUUGGUGAGGUAACGGCUCACCAAGGCAAUGAUCUUUAGGGGGCCUGAGAGGGUGAUCCCCCACACUGGUACUGAGACACGGACCAGACUCCUACGGGAGGCAGCAGUGAGGAAUAUUGGUCAAUGGGUGCAAGCCCGAACCAGCCAUCCCGCGUGAAGGACGGCUGCCCUAUGGGUUGUAAACUUCUUUUGUAUAGGGAUAAACCUACCCUCGUGAGGGUAGCUGAAGGUACUAUACGAAUAAGCACCGGCUAACUCCGUGCCAGCCGCCGCCGUAAGAC
rnacentral:rRNA from 1 species